CCAGGCCCUAACUGGAGCAGUGUUCAGUACAAUGUGGUGACCUCAUCUACACAGCGCAGGAGCAUAUGAAGGAAGGGCCCCCACCCCAUUGGUACACACCCAACCAGGACACUCCAGAGAGCUGGCCCCAUAGACAACCAUAUGCAACUCUUACCAGACAGCACUUGACAUGGAGGGACUAUAAAUGAUAGUGUAGUUAAGUGUGUGUAGCCAUGCGUGCUGGGAUAUCGUCCAAUCAGCCAUUUUACUUCAUUGAGUACAAGAAGUCAUUCCACAAGAAUUCCAAGACCUGAGAUCACAGAGAUGAAAGAAAGUCAAAGCUUUUUAUUUGCUAUUUGUGCAAAUUAUUUAUAUGUGGAAGUCGUGCAGGCCCUCUGAGUCAAUAAAUAAUUAGUUAAACAUGCAGGCAUU